rnacentral:rRNA from 1 species
UACACCCGCAGCACGCGUAGUGGUCACUUUUAUUGAGCCUAAAGCGUUCGUAGCCGGUUUUGUAAAUCUUCAGAUAAAGCCUGAAGCUUAACUCCAGAAAGUCUGAAGAGACUGCAAGACUUGAGAUCGGGUGAGGUUAAACGUACUUUCAGGGUAGGGGUAAAAUCCUGUAAUCCCGGAAGGACGACCAGUGGCGAAAGCGUUUAACUAGAACGAAUCUGACGGUAAGGAACGAAGGCUAGGGUAGCAAACCGGAUUAGAUACCCGGGUAGUCCUAGCUGUAAACAUUGCCCAUUUGAUGUUGCUUUUCCGUUGAGGGAAGGCAGUGUCGGAGCGAAGGUGUUAAAUGGGCCGCUUGGGAAGUAUGGUCGCAAGACUGAAACUUAAAGGAAUUGGCGGGGGAGCACCGCAACGGGAGGAAUGUGCGGUUUAAUUGGAUUCAACGCCGGAAAACUCACCGGGAACGACCUGUGCAUGAGAGUCAACCUGACGAGCUUACUCGAUAGCAGGAGAGGUGGUGCAUGGCCGUCGUCAGCUCGUACCGUAGGGCGUUCACUUAAGUGUGAUAACGAGCGAGACCCACAUCUUUAAUUGCAAAUUGUAUAUGAGAAUAUGCAUGCACUUUAGAGAAACCGCCAGCGCUAAGCUGGAGGAAAGAGUGGUCGACGGGCGGUCAGUACGCCCGAAUUCCCG